CUCACUUGCGGUCUAUAUGUUAUGAUGUUUAUUCAUAAAGCAAGCCUUGUGGGAUUAGAAAGAGCUUUAUAUUUUUUUAAAAAAAAUUUCUCGGAAAAAUCGCUUUUUAUCAAUGACAGAUUAGUGAUAGCAUAUGCUAGAGAGAAUUUUAAAAUGUUACCUCCUUGUGAAAAAACAUUUUGCCUAAGUAGACAAGGUUAUCUUUGUGCUUCCCUCUGUGAGGAAGGUCACCUCUGACGAGAGUAUCCCCCAAAUACCCCUCCUGGCUGGUAAGGCCCUCUCUGAGUUGUAUAUAAGAGCCCGCUGAAGCUGUCUUCCCGCAAAAGAUAGAGGCUGACCUCUCCAUAGCCUUUUACUCUCAUCAUGGCGAAGGAAGCAGGCAUUCUCGAUUCUGUUUUCACUGGGCCAGUCAGAAUUUGUAAAGUUUUGAUUUUAUCGGCUGGUAGAUUGGAAGGGAAGGAACACACCGGCUUCAAACUCCUAAAGCGGUGUCAUUGUGAUGAUAGCAGGAAACGCAAACAUAGGCUUCCUCAGGAAAGGCCUGUGGAAGAUGGGAAACAGUUCAUCUGAUAUAGAGGAGC